GACGAACGCUGGCGGUGUGCUUCACACAUGCAAGUCGAACGAGGUAGCAAUACCUAGUGGCGGACGGGUGAGUAACGCGUGGGAAUCUGCCUUUAGAUGGGGGAUAACGGGUCGAAAGACUCGCUAAUACCGCAUAUGACGAAAGUUGAAAGGAGUAAUCCGUCUAAAGAUGAGCCCGCGUCCGAUUAGCUAGUUGGUAGAGUAAAAGCCUACCAAGGCGACGAUCGGUAGCUGGUCUGAGAGGAUGAUCAGCCACAAUGGGACUAGAGACACGGCCCAUACUCCUACGGGAGGCAGCAGUGGGAAUUUUACGCAAUGGGCGAAAGCCUGACGUAGCGACACCGCGUG
rnacentral:rRNA from 1 species